UUCAGUCUCACCCAGUGUUCUCACCCGGUCCCAUUAAGUAGUGCAUAAAGGUGUGUAACCGUUGGAUUUUUGGUGAUGGCUAUAUAUAGCCCCACCCAUUCCACCAAAACUCAGAGAACAACCAGUUCGAAGCUUACACUUCCCAUAUCUAUUUUCUGAGAGAGACCACCUACACUUGUGUUGAGAUCAAGAGGAUUUCACUCCAACCUUUAAUCUUUGAUCUCUCGCCUCCCCAAGUUGCUUUCCACUCCAAUCCCUAUCCUACCAGAUAGCCAAAUCUAUGAGAGAGUGUUUGAGUGUUGAUGAGACUAUCUUUUGAACCACAAGAGUAAGGAGUUCAUCAUCAACAACAUCUAUUACCAUUUGGAGUGUGGUGUCUCCUAGAUUGUUUAGGUGUCACUUGGCAGCCUCCAAGCUUGUGGAGUUGAACUAAGGAGUUUGUAUGUGGCACCCCGAUCCGCAUGGAGCAGGGGGCCUUCGCACGUCAGCCCAGGAUAACACCUGACGCACGACAGGUCCAUGAUACAACAUUCCAGGUACAAUAAUAUUCAUCAAAUACAUGUGUGUAAGAUUACAUCAUUGAUGAAUACAAUUUUCUGGCAUAGCCCUAAGGCUAUUUACAUGGCAGCAGAAGUCCAUAUAAAUGGCGGCGGAAGUCUUGGUUUGGCAGCGUCUCAGUAAGGCUGGGCUCCAUAACGCACAGGACUGGCAAGAUUACGGCCUAGCACGACGGAACAAGCAAACGACCUACAAAACUGGCAUGACACGCCAGGUCAGUAGAUUGAAUGCACUUGCAAGACAACCAAAUACAUAGCAUCCAAACAAACAGAAGACAAAGCAAGAACCAAGCAUAUGCAACAGUCUACAUCAACACAACUUCUAAGCAUGGCAUGAUAUUAACUAGAAUCAUAAUUCAAACUAGGCAUGAACAACAUCAUAGCAUCAACUAUCAUGGCAUAUCAAACUUACUUCUAUCAUAACAACAGCAAAGCAUGGCAUAUCAAAACAGGGCAUGACAUCAUGAAACUAUGCUGAAAAUAAACUACCAGUUACCUCCCGUGAAGAUAUGUUAUAAUAACCUUAUGCCACAAUCACUUACUCUGCCACGGCUCCUCGGAGCACGAUCAUGACUUACCGAGACCUCGUCUCGGGGUCAUAUCAACACAUCAUCGUGACUUCUCAUGAUUAUUUCAUAGUCCAAGCCAUCACAUUAGUUAUCACAUCUUAGUUAUCACAUAAUUAAUUAGUUGAUUUAUCCUGCAUUUCGACCGAGACCCGAUAGUGUGACCUACUAUGAACCUGUGCCCAUGACCUAGGACGCGGCUAUCGAUAGAUUGAAUAUACUCUGCAGAGGUAGCACACUUUACCCACACUACGGAACCCUGGUCUCGCACUCCCAUACGUGCGGACCAAAGCGUUCCGACAAACCGAUCUACUGCCAUGACGCCCUCCCGGCCACUCCGACCAACACCCCUUAAGGGUUCAGUCCUGGGUGGCCCCGUACCUACCAAAGGUACCAACGGCCACCGUCGUGGCAAAACGGUCCCAAACGGGGACAUGAGCUCAAAACCAAACCCGGGCACACAAGGCUUAUGUCCGCCUACCUGAUCAGGGUAAGCGCGCCCAUAACCUUCCCUCGCGGGAGGCACCGGCGAGAGGCAUGACAAUAGACCCAGCUAGGACCUUCCCACAAGGUAAAUGUGGUUGCACUGGUGAAAGCUCGAUUUGGUGGCACUAUGAUAUCCCGGUGAUGGAGGAGGAGGUUUGUUAUUAAGUCAUAUUAUUAACUUCUCCACCAUCAACAACAUUAUGAGCAUAUUAAACAAGAAUGCAACAAUGAACAUUCAACUAACAAAUGCAUUAACAAAUAUCAAGCUACUCCAGUGAACAGUUAUAGCAUAUGAAACAUAACAAUACUAGAUACUAGCUUAUUGACGGUGCAACAAAAUCAUCAUAACAUCAAGACUAAUGGAAUGAACUACACUAGAUAGAGGCAUGAUAUUAUCAACAACAAUAUAACUAGCAUGGCAAAAGCUAUCAUGAGAGGUAAGCAAGCAGUACUAACAUAUAUCACAACUGAAAUAACGGCAGAUGAAACAGACAAAAACUACUGCAACUAAGCACACACACGAGGUACCAGCAAAGUCAACAUGCAAGUUCGGGGCUCAUGAUAAGAGGUUGGCUUGCCUGGGGUCGAGGAUUACUCCGGAAAAAGUGCGGAACGAUCGCGGAAAGAUUUGCCGAAAACAGUUCUCUCUCGGAGGGGGCUGUUUACGGGCAAGGGCAAAGUGGUUAUUUUCACUGUGUGAAAACAUAAUGAAAAUAAUACCAACGGAAAUAGUUCGACGAGACGAAGACGUGGGCUUUGGAAUCACCUGAUUUGGAGCUACGGGUAAAAAGAUACGGAGGGUUGAAGCUCAGGGACCUAUCGGUGAAAAAAAUUCAGCAAGCAGGCCCCUGGAGGAAAAACUGAACGUGCCUUUGGGCUGAAUACGUUUUCCGCACAGGGAAACGCAUUUCGGGCCGAAGUGCCCAGGGAAUACAUUUUCUGACUAGGAUAGCGUAUUCACGAGGAAUACGUUUCAGAGCAGGCAAACGGCUUCUGUGGCCGGGCGCGUCCACUUAUCCGACGUGGCCAGCGGGGCCACGCCUUCCUCUCACCGACAGGUGGGUCCCGCAGGGUGGGGCCCGCCUGGCCUGGCUUCUUCUUCCUCCCGCGCGUACGCGCGCCUCGCCGAGGGAGACGCCCGCCUCGACGGCGAUUGCCGGCGGCUCCGGCCGCCUCAGACGACGGCCGACAUAUCCACGAGCUCAGGAGCGAGAGGCGCAUCCCUUGGUGGUGUCUGUUGCCGGCGAGGAGCACGAGAGAAGGAGCAGCAGGGCUCGCGGCGGAGGUGGUCUUCGGACUCCGGCGAACAGGGGCUCCGGUGGGGGAACUGGGUGGGCAAGGCUACGGGGAGGUGCGCCGGACCUCGGGGAACGCAUAGGUGGUGGGGGAACGGGGAGAGGGGCACGGCAUCGCCGGAAUCGGGCAUAGCUCGAGGCGGCGGCCAUGGUGGCGAUGGGCGUCAGGGAGCUCCUCGAGCUCGAGCUAGUGGUUCGGGGGCGUUGU
rnacentral:lncRNA from 1 species